AAAGAUUAAAACAUUCCCCUACCGUAUUUAAUACGUUCAUUUCCUUCUUCCACGUCAUAAUUAACAUCCGUAGAUCCCUCUCCAGUCAACACCAGAACCUCAACCACUACACCCUCAUCUCCAUUUUUCUUAACAUCAUCUCCAAUUUUCUUUCUUUGACCUAAAUUUGAUCAAUUCCUCAUUCUUCCAGUUCUUUACAUGCUUUCUUAUACGUUUUCUCUGUCUGUUUCUUACUACAGUGGUGGUGGCAGAGAUGGUGCUUUUGACGGUUGGAAGGCCCCUCCGAGUCUUUAAGAGAAACUGAGCAAUGGCGAUUGCACUGCGUAGGUUCAUCUCUGCCUCUCUUUCCCUUAACCAUGGUUGCCACAACUUCGCUGUCAUGUACUACCUCCAACUUCACUGCCACCAAUGGUCCUGAGUAUUUCUGGAGCGAGGAUGAGGAUGUUGUGCUCUAACUCAAGUAAAGCCCACCAAUUUCAGGAUUGAGAUAAUGAUUUCGAAGAAAUGUGGGAAAGGGGCUGAAUUUCGGGAGUUUAGGUGGUGGAUUGUAUGAAUUAUGUGCCAUCUAGCGUGGAUAGCGUGUCACUAGAAUUCAAUCGUUCAUAGGGAUUUGAAGUUUAAAGCCUUCCAAUUUCAUAAUCUUGACAGCUGGGUUUCUCUAAGCUUGUUGUAUUUAACAAAUUUAUGAUAAUAAAGUAUAUAAAUGUACAUAUAAGAGUUUUCUGAUGCAAGGAAUCAAAAUUAUGUUAUGUAAAUAGACCCUUCCAUUUAGAUUUUUCUUCUUGUAAUUUGCAACAAUAGACAAGUUCUACAUCAGGUGGUGCUGUAAUUGAUGAAUUCUAGAGAGAAGUUCUUACUUGCAAGCAGUGGGAAAAUACUACUCUAUGGAUCUUGUGUUCUUAGGAUUUCAACAACUUGUUUCUAGUACCCGAUUUCACCAUUUCUUGAUUGAGCAUUGAAUUUGUACAAAAUUGACUCAGUUGGAGAUCAAUGGGUUCGCUAAAUUGGUAGAUGAAGAUUGCAGUGAAUUGACUUAAAGACACUUAGCGUUCCAAUUGGUGUUUUAUCGG
rnacentral:lncRNA from 1 species